GACGGAGGAUGCAAGCGUUAUCCGGAAUGAUUGGGCGUAAAGCGUCCGCAGGUGGCAGUUCAAGUCUGCUGUCAAAGACCGGGGCUUAACUUCGGAAAGGCAGUGGAAACUGAACAGCUAGAGUAUGGUAGGGGCAGAGGGAAUUCCUGGCGUAGCGGUGAAAUGCGUAGAGAUCAGGAAGAACAUCGGUGGCUAAGGCGCUCUGCUGGACCAUAACUGACACUCAGGGACGAAAGCUAGGGGAGCGAAUGGG
rnacentral:rRNA from 1 species